AUGGCUGGCUCGGGUCGGGGCACGCUGAUGAGCACGGGCAUGCUUGUGUGGAUAAGUUGUGGGUCCCACCCGCAUGCGAGAGAUAUUGGCCCGCGCUCAUGGGUCGCCGACGCGGUCGCUCCCAUCGGCGACAGGUUCCUGUGCUGGGUGGACUACUACGUUGGCUUGGUGCUGUGCGACGUGUUCGACGCGAACCCCGUGCACCGCCGGCGCGCGGUGAAGCUGGUCAGCAUCGACCCACGCUGCUGCUGCGGCGACAUCAUCACACCCUGGAGCGAGUGCCAUCGCUCCCGAUUCUCGUUCAGCAUCACCACCUGGACCCUCAACGUGGACGACGGCGUGCUCUACUCGGAGGAGCUGUGGGCGCUCCCGGGCUGCGAGCUCCUACCGCGCAUCGCGGCGGAGUUCCCUGUCAUCAGCAUGGACGAGCCCGACUCCCUCUGCCUCAUGCUGAGGAGUGAUCAGCGGCGUUUCAUUGGCGUAGACGACGGCGACAAGCGGAUUUGGAUGAUAAAGGUGGACACGAGGAAGAAGGCAUUGCAAUCCGUCGUCCGAUAUGCCAGCCAGGGCAACGAGGACGGCGCUUCUAUGACGCCUGACCGGCUUCGUCCCGAAGAUGACGGCAGGGUGGAGAGAAGAAGCUCUAGAGAGGUGCAGCUAGCUAGUUGUAUUGUCCAUGGCCAUGGAUCGAUGACGUGGCGCAAUCUGAACCCUCCCUCCCUCUCCCUGACUGAUGCGCACCACCCAUCCAUAGGCGCAUGCAGUGACCGCUAUUAA
rnacentral:rRNA from 1 species